rnacentral:rRNA from 1 species
UACGUAGGGGGCUAGCGUUGUCCGGAAUCAUUGGGCGUAAAGAGCGUGUAGGCGGUCCGGUAAGUCCGCUGUGAAAGUCGGGGGCUCAACCCUCGAAUGCCGGUGGAUACUGUCGGGCUAGAGUGCGGAAGAGGCGAGUGGAAUUCCUGGUGUAGCGGUGAAAUGCGCAGAUAUCAGGAGGAACACCUAUUGCGAAGGCAGCUCGCUGGGACGUAACUGACGCUGAGCUGCGAAAGCGUGGGGAGCGAACAGG